rnacentral:lncRNA from 1 species
UUUAAAGGAAACAUGAUUCAAUAGAUUAGAAUAAGAAAAAGGUUUAGAAAUCUUCUCUAAAUUGUCAAAGAGGAUCAAUAUCUAUCCCAAAUGUUGCUUACAAGUCUAAAACUCAGAAAAACUGCUGUGAAAAAAACGUAGAAUGAAAAACAAGUCUUUUUGGGUUUUAAUACCCAUUACAGAAGAAAAUAGAAGUUAACUCCGGUUAAGGAAACCGAAAUUGGAAUGGACCGAUCGGUCUAACAGAUGGACCAAUCGGUCUUUAGGCGCCGGAUCUUGUCCGGGUGAUAGGAUCGAUCGAUCCAAGGUGAGUACCGAUCGAUCUAUGUUCUCUGUUCAGAGCCGGGUAAACGGAUCGAUCGAUCCAUUGUGGGGACCGAUCGAUCGUUUUGUUUCUCGAAUGUGCCGUCCGGUCGGAUCGAUCGGUCUGGUGAUGGACCGAUCGGUCCAUGUUCUGCAUCAGCUAAAGUUCCACUUCCUUGCCCGAAACUGGUCCAAAACGCGUCAAUUCUGCUCCAACCGCUUAUCCCCUGCUCAAGACUCAAAACACGACUCGAAAGACACGAAAGACGGACUAAAAUACGAUAAACGACUCAAAAUGGACAUAAAAGAAAGGGUGAAAGACUCUAAAAAC